GGUAUGUAAAGCUCUAUCAGCAGGGAAGAUAAUGACGGUACCUGACUAAGAAGCACCGGCUAAAUACGUGCCAGCAGCCGCGGUAAUACGUAUGGUGCAAGCGUUAUCCGGAUUUACUGGGUGUAAAGGGAGCGCAGGCGGUGCGGUAAGUCUGAUGUGAAAGCCCGGGGCUCAACCCCGGUACUGCAUUGGAAACUGUCGUACUAGAGUGUCGGAGGGGUAAGCGGAAUUCUUAGUGUAGCGGUGAAAUGCGUAGAUAUUAGGAGGAACACCAGUGGCGAAGGCGGCUUACUGGACGAUAACUGACGCUGAGGCUCGAAAGCGUGGGGAGCAAACAGGAUUAGAUACCCUGGUAGUCCACGCCGUAAA
rnacentral:rRNA from 1 species